AGCAGAGAGGCUGUUUAGAGGAAGAACAUUGUUCAUCUCUUUUCUGUUUGGCUUCAACAUCUCAAAGACAUGAUGUUUUCCCUCUUUCUGUCUUUAUCUUACUUCAUAGCCAUGUGUUCUAUGAACAGCAUCAAUCCAGAAAGUUCUGAAGAAGUUGUACCAGAGGGAGGAAACAUCAAGCUGAGCUGUAAAUAUGAGGGGAGUAUCAACAAUAUCCAGUGGUUCCAGCAACAGCAGCAGAGAUCCAGACCAGAGUUCCUGCUCCUCAUCACAGAGGACGGAUUCAUCAGCGCAGAGAUUUCUGGUUUCUCUGCUCACAUCAACAAAACAGACAAACGUGUAGAUCUGAAGAUCAUCUCAGCUAAAGUGACAGACUCUGCUGUUUACUACUGUGCUGUGAGGCCCACAGUGACAGGAAACACCACAACUCUGUACAAAAACACUACAUCCACCAGAGGGAGUCACACACUGUUACACCUCAGUGUUUGUGAUGAUGUUUCUUUCAUAUGACAGAGAAUCUGACUGUGAGUCAAAUAUUUAAUAUCAGUCAUGGAAUCAUUUACAG